UGUGUGUGUGUGUGUGUGUGUGUGUGUGUGUGUGAGAGAGAGAGAGAGAGAGAGAGAGAAAGAGAGAGGGAGGGAGGGAGGGUGUACACACACACAAACACAAACACACACACACACACA
rnacentral:miRNA from 1 species